UUUGAUCAUGCUCAGGAUGAACGCUGGCGGCGUGCCUAAUACAUGCAAGUCGAGCGAACGGACGAGAAGCUGCUUCUCUGAUGUUAGCGGCGGACGGGUGAGUAACACGUGGAUAACCUACCUAUAAGACUGGGAUAACUUCGGGAAACCGGAGCUAAUACCGGAUAAUAUUUUGAACCGCAUGGUUCAAAAGUGAAAGACGGUCUUGCUGUCACUUAUAGAUGGAUCCGCGCUGCAUUAGCUAGUUGGUAAGGUAACGGCUUACCAAGGCAACGAUGCAUAGCCGACCUGAGAGGGUGAUCGGCCACACUGGAACUGAGACACGGUCCAGACUCCUACGGGAGGCAGCAGUAGGGAAUCUUCCGCAAUGGGCGAAAGCCUGACGGAGCAACGCCGCGUGAGUGAUGAAGGUCUUCGGAUCGUAAAACUCUGUUAUUAGGGAAGAACAUAUGUGUAAGUAACUGUGCACAUCUUGACGGUACCUAAUCAGAAAGCCAC
rnacentral:rRNA from 1 species